AGGACGAACGCUGGCGGCGUGCUUAACACAUGCAAGUCGAACGGAAAGGCCCUUCGGGGUACUCGAGUGGCGAACGGGUGAGUAACACGUGGGUGAUCUGCCCUGCACUUUGGGAUAAGCCUGGGAAACUGGGUCUAAUACCGAAUAGGACUACGCGAUGCAUGUCGUGUGGUGGAAAGCUUUUGCGGUGUGGGAUGGGCCCGCGGCCUAUCAGCUUGUUGGUGAGGUUACGGCUCACCAAGGCGACGACGGGUAGCCGGCCUGGGAGGGUGACCGGCCACACUGGGACUGAGAUACGGCCCAGACUCCUACGGGAGGCAGCAGUGGGAAUAUUGCACAAUGGGCGCAAGCCUGAUGCAGCGACGCCGCGUGAGGGAUGGACGG
rnacentral:rRNA from 1 species